rnacentral:rRNA from 1 species
GAUUAAGUUAUUAAGGGCGCACGGUGGAUGCCUUGGCACUAGAAGCCGAUGAAGGACGUUACUAACGACGAUAUGCUUUGGGGAGCUGUAAGUAAGCUUUGAUCCAGAGAUUUCCGAAUGGGGAAACCCAGCAUGAGUUAUGUCAUGUUAUCGAUAUGUGAAUACAUAGCAUAUCAGAAGGCACACCCGGAGAACUGAAACAUCUUAGUACCCGGAGGAAGAGAAAGAAAAUUCGAUCCCCUUAGUAGCGGCGAGCGAAACGGGAAGAGCCCAAACCAACAAGCUUGCUUGUUGGGGUUGUAGGACACUCUAUACGGAGUUACAAAGGACGACAUUAGACGAAUCAUCUGGAAAGAUGAAUCAAAGAAGGUAAUAAUCCUGUAGUCGAAAAUGUUGUCUCUCUUGAGUGGAUCCUGAGUACGACGGAGCACGUGAAAUUCCGUCGGAAUCUGGGAGGACCAUCUCCUAAGGCUAAAUACUCUCUAGUGACCGAUAGUGAACCAGUACCGUGAGGGAAAGGUGAAAAGCACCCCGGAAGGGGAGUGAAAUAGAACCUGAAACCGUGUGCUUACAAGUAGUCAGAGCCCGUUAAUGGGUGAUGGCGUGCCUUUUGUAGAAUGAACCGGCGAGUUACGAUUUGAUGCAAGGUUAAGCAGUAAAUGUGGAGCCGUAGCGAAAGCGAGUCUGAAUAGGGCGUUUAGUAUUUGGUCGUAGACCCGAAACCAGGUGAUCUACCCUUGGUCAGGUUGAAGUUCAGGUAACACUGAAUGGAGGACCGAACCGACUUACGUUGAAAAGUGAGCGGAUGAACUGAGGGUAGCGGAGAAAUUCCAAUCGAACCUGGAGAUAGCUGGUUCUCUCCGAAAUAGCUUUAGGGCUAGCCUCAAGUGAUGAUUAUUGGAGGUAGAGCACUGUUUGGACGAGGGGCCCCUCUCGGGUUACCGAAUUCAGACAAACUCCGAAUGCCAAUUAAUUUAACUUGGGAGUCAGAACAUGGGUGAUAAGGUCCGUGUUCGAAAGGGAAACAGCCCAGACCACCAGCUAAGGUCCCAAAAUAUAUGUUAAGUGGAAAAGGAUGUGGCGUUGCCCAGACAACUAGGAUGUUGGCUUAGAAGCAGCCAUCAUUUAAAGAGUGCGUAAUAGCUCACUAGUCGAGUGACACUGCGCCGAAAAUGUACGGGGCUAAACAUAUUACCGAAGCUGUGGAUUGUCCUUUGGACAAUGGUAGGAGAGCGUUCUAAGGGCGUUGAAGCAUGAUCGUAAGAACAUGUGGAGCGCUUAGAAGUGAGAAUGCCGGUGUGAGUAGCGAAAGACGGGUGAGAAUCCCGUCCACCGAUUGACUAAGGUUUCCAGAGGAAGGCUCGUCCGCUCUGGGUUAGUCGGGUCCUAAGCUGAGGCCGACAGGCGUAGGCGAUGGAUAACAGGUUGAUAUUCCUGUACCACCUAUAAUCGUUUUAAUCGAUGGGGGGACGCAGUAGGAUAGGCGAAGCGUGCGAUUGGAUUGCACGUCUAAGCAGUAAGGCUGAGUAUUAGGCAAAUCCGGUACUCGUUAAGGCUGAGCUGUGAUGGGGAGAAGACAUUGUGUCUUCGAGUCGUUGAUUUCACACUGCCGAGAAAAGCCUCUAGAUAGAAAAUAGGUGCCCGUACCGCAAACCGACACAGGUAGUCAAGAUGAGAAUUCUAAGGUGAGCGAGCGAACUCUCGUUAAGGAACUCGGCAAAAUGACCCCGUAACUUCGGGAGAAGGGGUGCUCUUUAGGGUUAACGCCCAGAAGAGCCGCAGUGAAUAGGCCCAAGCGACUGUUUAUCAAAAACACAGGUCUCUGCUAAACCGUAAGGUGAUGUAUAGGGGCUGACGCCUGCCCGGUGCUGGAAGGUUAAGAGGAGUGGUUAGCUUCUGCGAAGCUACGAAUCGAAGCCCCAGUAAACGGCGGCCGUAACUAUAACGGUCCUAAGGUAGCGAAAUUCCUUGUCGGGUAAGUUCCGACCCGCACGAAAGGCGUAACGAUUUGGGCACUGUCUCAACGAGAGACUCGGUGAAAUCAUAGUACCUGUGAAGAUGCAGGUUACCCGCGACAGGACGGAAAGACCCCGUGGAGCUUUACUGUAGCCUGAUAUUGAAAUUCGGCACAGCUUGUACAGGAUAGGUAGGAGCCUUUGAAACGUGAGCGCUAGCUUACGUGGAGGCGCUGGUGGGAUACUACCCUAGCUGUGUUGGCUUUCUAACCCGCACCACUUAUCGUGGUGGGAGACAGUGUCAGGCGGGCAGUUUGACUGGGGCGGUCGCCUCCUAAAAGGUAACGGAGGCGCUCAAAGGUUCCCUCAGAAUGGUUGGAAAUCAUUCAUAGAGUGUAAAGGCAUAAGGGAGCUUGACUGCGAGACCUACAAGUCGAGCAGGGUCGAAAGACGGACUUAGUGAUCCGGUGGUUCCGCAUGGAAGGGCCAUCGCUCAACGGAUAAAAGCUACCCCGGGGAUAACAGGCUUAUCUCCCCCAAGAGUUCACAUCGACGGGGAGGUUUGGCACCUCGAUGUCGGCUCAUCGCAUCCUGGGGCUGUAGUCGGUCCCAAGGGUUGGGCUGUUCGCCCAUUAAAGCGGUACGCGAGCUGGGUUCAGAACGUCGUGAGACAGUUCGGUCCCUAUCCGUCGUGGGCGUAGGAAAUUUGAGAGGAGCUGUCCUUAGUACGAGAGGACCGGGAUGGACAUACCUCUGGUGUACCAGUUGUCGUGCCAACGGCAUAGCUGGGUAGCUAUGUGUGGACGGGAUAAGUGCUGAAAGCAUCUAAGCAUGAAGCCCCCCUCAAGAUGAGAUUUCCCAACUUCGGUUAUAAGAUCCCUCAAAGAUGAUGAGGUUAAUAGGUUCGAGGUGGAAGCAUGGUGACAUGUGGAGCUGACGAAUACUAAUCGAUCGAAGACUUAAUCAA